GUGUGAUACCCUUGAACACUGCAGCAAAGUUUGAAAUGUUUAAGUCAAAAGAGGGCUGGUAAGAAAGAAAAAAAAACUGAGUUGAGCCUUAAAUAAAUUUAAUAGUAUUAAACCCACUUUGAGAGAAUAAGGUAUUUUUACAUUCUAAGUCGAUAAAAGGCCUUAAUUUUUAAAACAAAUCCUUGACAGAGUUACCUUCUCUUGCGUACAGAUGGGGGUAAUGAUGUGAAAUAGCAUUAAAAGUUUCAAAGCAAUAUCUCAAAGGGUUAAGGCAAUAAGUGGAUUUUACCCAUAUUCAAUGUAUUUUCUAAGUCAAAAAGGGGCAUAAUUCUGUCAAAAACCUUGACAGAGUUAUGUCCUCUUGUCUGUUGAUGAAGGUCGUGAUGGUAAACAAGUAUGGUCAGUUUCAAAGCAAUACCUCCAAUGGUUUUGAAAUAAAGUGAGGUGGUACAAAAAACUUAACCAAGCUCAAUACACUUUCUAAGUCAAAAAAAGGCC